UCACUUUCUCUUAUCAUAUUCUAUCAAUCCAGUGAACGCUUAAAAGUUGAGUCAUAAAAAUUUUAAAAAUAUAGUUGUAAAUUAUAUAAUUGAGAACGUGUUUUACAACCGUGGCAGUAACGUUCAUCUACCACAUAAGGAUGACUAAUUUUGGUGGACACACAAAUUCUUAUCCCGCUAACUAUAACUUCAGAUGGCACGACUUAUUAAUAGUAUUAGGACUUUUUUUAGGAUGUAUAUGUCUUAUAUUGUUCAUAUGGUUAAUAUGGUCUUUAUACUUAUAUAUUAAAGAGUAUCUCGUUGGUCGAGCAAGAUGUAGGGCAUACCGCGAGCAGGCGAAUGAGUUCAUGUAUAACUCAUCCACCACUCUUGAAUUUGAGCUAACUAAUUGUCCAAUAUGUUUAGAAGAUUUUCAAAAUAAUGAAAAAAUUCACAAACUAUCAUGUGAACAUACAUUUCAUGAGAUGUGUAUAUUAAAAUAUAUAUUUAAAUCUAAUAUUUGCCCUUUAUGUAGGGCAAAUAUUUUAGGUUAGAUUUUAGUAUAUAUAGUUUUAUUAAAUAAAUAUCACUUUAUGUAUUUGUACUUUUUCUAAAUUAAUGUAUGACGGAGUUAAUGUGUGUGCAUUAGGAA